rnacentral:lncRNA from 1 species
UGCGGUAUAAUUCUUGUUAUUUUCGAAAUUCGGAUUAAUGGUUGAAAAAAUUUAGAUUUGGAAUUCGGAUUUUUGGGUUCAGAUUUCUGUACGUGUUAAAAAAAAAUUUAAAUUAUUUGGGGCGGGCCGUCGGCAGCCGGCCAGCAGCUUCGCUGUUGCACACAGUAGCGCGAGCUGCUGGGCAGCACGCAGCAGCGUAGGCACUGCCUAAGGGAGAAGAAGAGAACCUUUUAGGUUUUUCAAUUUUUUACCAGAUUUUUUGGGGGUGAGGGCUUCCUCUGUAAAUUAGAUAAGUUGAGGCCCCUGGUUGCAAUUAGGGUUAGGGUUAUAAAAUUAAGGUUUCAGUCCCUAACAUUUAAGUUAUAUUAAGCUUUGGGCCUUUAAGUUUCGAAUUUAAUAAUUCAGUCCCUAAGGUUUAAAAUUAAUUAAUUCGGGCCAUUAAAGUUCUGAAUUUAUAACUAAAGCCCUCAAAAUUUAAUUAUUAAUUCAAAUUGGCCCCCUAAGUUUAUAAUUAAUUCAAAUUGACCCCUAAAGUUUCAAAUUUUUAAAAUUUGAUCCCUAAAGUUUUGAAUUAUUAAUCCUAAGGCCCCUAAAGUUUAAAACUAAUCAAAAUAUGCAAAACUGGUGAUUCUCUUUCUCAAAUUUUGGUACCAAAGACUCUUUUAAGAGAUAUAAUAUUCGAAAGUUAGUUAAUUGAAGCAAUAUGUUGCCAAAGCAAUCUCUCUUGUGAAAAUUGACUAACUUAGAAUGUUAAAAAGUGUUUGUGCAUGUGUUAUUCAUGGGAAUAUUGGUCGGCCCAAAGGAAGGUCAAUAUUUAGUCGAAUACACGUGCACCUGUGGUGAUAAACGUGUGACGAUUAUUUGGUUUAAUGUGUGAUCAAUAAAUUGGUCCAAAGAAAGGUUUAUUGAAUGACACGUUUUAUCGUCAAUGUUUGAUCACUAUGUCAAGAGUACCGCCUACAAGUCAAUAUCUCUGUCCAAAGGCUGGAUAUUAAUGUUGUGUUUGGUAUCUUGUGAUGGGCCCUAUCACUAUUUGAGAUUAUUAUUAUUAGCAUAUUAAACAUAUUCAAAGUGAGCUACUCAUAAUAAUCGCUCUCUAAUUCAGUUUCAGGUUCUGCUGCUAAUAUCUCUGUUAGCAUGAAUUCAAUUCCAAUGCUGAAUGACACAAACUUCAGGGCUUGGCAAGAGAAUGUGAUGAUUGUUCUCAGAGUCAUGGACCUAGACUUUGCUUUAUGAGUCGAUCAACCUGCUGCACUUACUGAUAAGAGUACAUCUGAUGACAAGAGGGAGAUGGAAAAUUGGGAACGAUUGAACCGCAUAAGUUUAAUGGUCAUGAAGCAUGCUAUUCCAGAAGCAUUCCGGGGCACUAUGUCCGAUAAGGUGACUACGGCUAAGGGUUUCCUUGAGGACCUUGAGAAGAGGUUUGCCAAGAAUGAAAAGGCUGAAACAAGUACACUUUUCGCAAAUCUUGUCUCAAUGAGGUAUAAAGGGAAAUGAAACAUUUGGGAGUACAUUAUGGAAAUGUCUCACAUUGCUUCAAAACUAAAGGCACUCAAGUUGGAUUUAUCUGAAGACUUGUUGGUGCACUUGGUUCUGAUAUCCCUUCCGGCACAUUUCGGUCAAUUCAUGGUGAGCUACAACUGUCAAAAGGACUCAUGGUCCCUUAAUGAGCUCAUCUCACACUGUGUCCAGGAAGAGGAAAGACCGAAGUAUGAGAAGACAGAAAGUGCUCAUUUAGCCACCACAUCUAAGGACAAAAGUAACAAGAAAAGGAAGAUUAAUAAGGAAGCUGCGUGUACGGCAUCGCAAAAGAAAUAGCAUAAGGAAUCAACUGAAUGUGGUUGUUUCUUCUGUGGAGCUGCAUGUCAUAAAAAGAAGAAUUGCACCAAUUACUACGCAUGACGUGUAAAGAAAGGUACUUUUCUUCAUUUGGUUUGUUCUGAGGUUAAUUUAACUUUGGUACCUAGACAUACAUGGUGGAUAGAUUCUGGUGCAACAACUUACAUCAGUAUGUCUAUGCAGGGUUGCCUGAGUUGUCGAAAAUCAAGUGAUGGUGAAAGAUACAUCUAUGCUGGCGAUGGCAAAAGAAUGGAAGUAGAGGCAAUAGGAAAAUUUAGAUUAUUGUUAAAGACUGGAUUUUAUUUGGAUCUUGUUGAGACAUUUAUUGUACCGUCUUUUAGACGGAAUUUGAUUUCUAUUUCUAUUUUGGACAAAUUUGGUUAUACUUGUUCAUUUGGAAAUGGAAAAUUUAGUUUGUUUCAUGAUUCAAAAUUGGUUGGUUCCGGUUCUUUAUCAGGUUACGAUAAUCUUUAUUCAAUUGAUACAAUUGCUUUUUAUAAUGAAACCUUGCAUGUAAGUACUCGAGGUGUAAAACAAAAAUUAAACAACAAGAAUUCUGCAUCGUUGUGGCAUAAGAGAUUAGGUCACAUCUCCAAAAGGAGAAUUGAGAGACUUGUGUCUGACGGGAUUCUCGACCCUCUUGAUUUCACAGAUUAUGAUUUGUGUGUCAACUGUAUAAAGGGAAAACAAACCAAUAAAAGGAGAUUUCAAGCAAAUAGGACUUCGGAUGUCUUAGAACUUAUACAUACGGAUAUUUGUGGACCAUUCCCUAUGAGUUCUUGGAAUGAUCAACAAUAUUUUAUAACGUUCAUAGACGACUUUUCAAGAUAUGGCUACAUAUAUCUCAUUCAUGAAAAAUCACAGUCAUUGGAUGUGUUCAAAAACUAUAAAGCUGAAGUUGAGAACCAACUCGGCAAAAGGAUUAAAAGCGUCAGAUCUGACCGUGGGGGUGAAUACUAUGGCAGAUAUGACGGUUCAAGUGAACAUCGUCCAGGACCAUUUGCUAAAUUCCUAGAGGAAUGUGGUAUCGUCCCACAGUAUACUAUGCCGGGUUCGCCCACUAUGAAUGGUGUUGCUGAGAGACGAAACAGAACGUUUAAGGACAUGGUGAGGAGUAUGAUUAAUCAUUCUACCCUAUCAGAAUCUCUCUGGGGUGAAGCAUUAAAGACCGCAGCUUAUAUACUCAACAGAGUUCCAACUAAGGCCACUGAUAAAACCCCAUAUGAGCUUUGGAUGGGCAAGAAGCCUAGUUUGAAGCAUAUACAUAUUUGGGGGGUGUCCAGUUGAGGCAAGGCCCUAUAAGUCAAAUGAAAAGAAACUGGACGCAAUGACCAUCAGUUGCUAUUUCAUUGGAUAUUCUGAAAGGUCCAAGGGUUACAAGUUUUACGAUCCCACAACUAAGGCAAUUCUCGAGACAGGAAAUGCUAGGUUCUUUGAAGAUGUUGAGUUUGUGGGGGGAGAAAGGGUUACAGGCUUUGUCUUUGAGGAGGAAUAUGUUGAAAUUCCUCCAAUUGCCAUUGACAAUGAUCAGGUUUCUAUCCCUGAUAUUGUUCAAGAAGCAACUCUGGAUCAAGACAAUGUCAUACUUCCCUCUCAAGAUCAACAAUUGUUCUAGAAGAACAAACUCUACAGUCUCAAGAACCAAUGCCAUUAAGAAGAUCCACUAGAGAGAGGAGAAGUGCGGUUUCGAAUGAUUACAUCGUAUUUCUUCAAGAACAUGAAGUUGACAUUGGAAUGGUGAAAGAUGAUCCAAUCAACUUCCGUCAAGCCAUGGAAAGUUCUAACUCUCAAAAGUGGCUCGAUGCUAUGAAUGAAGAGAUAAAGUCCAUAAAGGACAAUGACGUAUGUGACCUCGUUCCAUUGCCUGAAGGUGCGAAACUUAUUGGUUGCAAAUGGAUAUUUAAGACCAAGAGGGAUUCAAAAGGUGAUGUAGAGAGGUAUAAGACUCGUCUUGUCGCAAAGGGUUUUACACAGAAAGAAGGCAUCGAUUAUAAAGAGACUUUCUCUCCGAUUUCUUCGAAAGACUCUUUCAGGACUAUAAUGGCAUUGGUAGCGCAUUUCGAUCUUGAGCUACAUCAGAUGGAUGUUAAGAUAGCGUUUCUCAAUGGUGACAUUGAUGAAACAAUUUUUAUGGUACAACUAGAAAACUUUGUAUCGGACGAUGCAAAGCAAAUGGUUUGUAAAUUAAAGAAAUCCAUCUAUGGACUCAAACAGGCGUCUCGUCAAUGGUAUUACAAGUUUCAUCAGGUGAUCAUCUCAUUUGGUUUUGAGAUGAAUUUGGUUGAUGAUUAUAUAUACCACAAGUUCAGUGGGAGCAAGUAUAUUUUUCUGGUUUUAUAUGUCGAUGACAUAUUGCUUGCCAGCAACGAUAUUGGUUUAUUGCACGAAACCAAGAGAUUUCUAGCAAAGAAUUUUGAGAUGAAAGAUCUUGGUGAUGCCUCUUUUGUAUUAGGAAUUCAGAUACACCGAG